rnacentral:rRNA from 1 species
UCGAACGAUGAAACCGCCCUCGGGCGGACAUGAAGUGGCGAACGGGUGAGUAACACGUGACCAACCUGCCCCUUGCUCCGGGACAACCUUGGGAACCGAGGCUAAUACCGGAUACUCCUCGCCCCCCCUCCUGGGGGGCCCGGGAAAGCCCAGACGGCAAGGGAUGGGGUCGCGGCCCAUUAGGUAGUAGGCGGGGUAACGGCCCACCUAGCCCGCGAUGGGUAGCCGGGUUGAGAGACCGACCGGCCACAUUGGGACUGAGAUACGGCCCAGACUCCUACGGGAGGCAGCAUG